GAAUUCAAUUCAAGGAGCAAUAGUUUAAUAUUAGUUCAGGUUAAAUGCUUACAUUCAGAUAAUGUAGGUGCUUAUUGCAUUUUAUCUUCAAAUGGUAUCUUCUUGUUUACACUGUUUAAAGAACACCAGCUAUCUUUUCACAAAUCCUUUUUACUCGCUUAUUUACAUGCUUAUUUUUUAUGCUGAACUUGUCAAACUUUGGGGUGUAUACCUUUCCUGCUUGAGUCACACCACAGGACAUUUGUGAAAUAAAUUAGGCCAAAAAAAAACAUUUUCUUUAGAACUUUUAAAAAAAAUUGUAAUCAUGGCAGAUGGACUAUUUAUUAUCUUAUGACCAUAUGACCAAAUAAUUUUAUAUGGUUUUCAUUAUUUCCUUUCUUUUUCACGCCUCAUACACCUCUUUUCUAUUUACAUCUAUGUAACAGCCUAUGUCUUUGACCAGAGCUACAGGUAGGCUAUUUUCCAAAGCUGGUCGUAACUCAAUUCAAGUUAGUUACUGUUUUGUUGCCCACCACUGUUUUCACAGGCCAAUUCUUUUAUCUCACUGUGUGCAGUUUUCCUCUGUAAUUCUCCCACCCCAUUGCGUUCUCUCAAACACUGAGCUGGCACAUUUAGCUGAACUCCUUGCUUACACCCAUACAGGAGUGAUAUAUGAGGCUCUCCACAAAGUUGGGUCUCCCUCUGUUCUUUAGCAUGGUCACAGAGCCCUAAGCACAGCUAAUAAAGUCUCGACUGGCCACUUUCCUUUGAGUUUGACAUGUAUAAAACACUACAACAUUAAAACAUACAGUGUCUCUCAAACGUUUGUGAACCCUUUAGAAGUUCCUAUAUUUCUGAAUAAAUAUUAGCCAAAACACCAUCAGAUUUCAGAUCAGAUCAAACAAAUGAGCAAAUAUUAUUACACUUCUUUAUUUAAUUAUUGAGAAAAAUGAUUCAGCAUGACAUAUCUAUGACUUGCAAAAGUAUAUGAACCUUUGCUUUCACAUGUAUCUCUUGUAAGCCUUUGUGCAGCAAUAACUGUAAGUUUCCGGUAACUUUUGAUCAGUCCUGUACAAUGGCUUCAAAGAAUUUUCUUCUGUACUGAGGAAUGGAAUAGCUUCAACACUCAGAUUUUAGUGGGUGUCCUCAUAUUAACUGCUUGCUUCAGGUCCUUCCACAAUUUUUCUUUUGGAUUAAAGUCAGGACAUUGACUUGGCCAUUCUAAAAAAAAAACUUUGUUCCUCUUUAAUCAUUCUUUGGUAGACAGACUUGGGUGCUUGUGAUAGUUAUCUUGGUGUAUGACCCUUUUUUUUCUUGAGUUUCAGUUCAUGGACAGAUGUCUUGUCAUUUUCAUUUAGAGAUCACUGACAUAAUUCUGAAUACACUCUUCCAUCAAUGAUGGCAAGUUGUCCUGGACCAGAUGCAGCAAUACAGGCCCAAAGCAUGAUACUACCACCACCAUGUUUCAGAGAAUGUAUAAGGAUCCCUCUGACUUGUCCACAUGAUCUUUAACAAACGUCAUGGGCAGCAAUGUUCUUUUUGGAGAGUAAUGGCUUUCUCCUUGCAACUCUGCCUUGCACACCAAGGUUUUUCAGUGUUCACCUGAGGGCAGACUCAUGAACAUUAACAUAUUUGAAAGUAAAAGAGGCAUUUAGUUGCUUAAAAGUUACGCUGUAUUCCCUUCUGACUCAACAGACUAUUACAUGUCUUGCUUUUGGAGUGAUCUUUGUUGGUUGACCACUUCUGGGAAUGUACCAAUGCACUUAAAUUUCCUUCUUCUUUAGAGAGAAUCUUGAAUCCUUUUCCAGCCUGAUGAGCAACAACAACUCUCUUUCUAAAGGCCUCAGAAAUCUCCAUUGUUUUUGCAAUGAUCCUCUCCCACAAAUACACGUCAUGAACAUCACAUUUUGAUAUAUCUCUGUUCUUUAAAUAAGAGAGGACACUCAUGGAGACCUGAUUGUCAUCUCAUCAACUGAAAUCAGAUGGGCUCUAAUUUGACUUUGAAAUUAAGUACUAAACCUAGAGGUUCACAUACUUUUGCCUCCCACAGAUAUAUGCUAUUGGAACAUUUUCCUGAAUAAAAAAAUUACCAAGUGAGGUCUC